GUGCUACAGCUGCACAUAUACUCAAAUUUGGAUCGAUACAGAGAAGAUUAGCAUGGCCCUUGUGAAAUGAUGUGAAGUGCUCCAUAUUUUU
ensembl:snRNA U6 U6 spliceosomal RNA